rnacentral:rRNA from 1 species
UUAGUUGUCUCAAAGUUAAGCCAUGCAUGUCUAAGUAUAAGCAAUUAUACGGCGAAACUGCGAAUGGCUCAUUAAAUCAGUUAUUGUUUAUUUGAUAGUACCUUACUACUUGGAUAACCGUGGUAAUUCUAGAGCUAAUACAUGCUAAAAACCCCGACUUCGGGAGGGGUGUAUUUAUUAGAUUAAAAACCAACGCCCUUCGGGGCUCCUUGGUGAUUCAUGAUAACUUCUCGGAUCGCACGGCCUUGCGCCGGCGACGGUUCAUUCAAAUUUCUGCCCUAUCAACUUUCGACGGCUGGGUAUUGGCCAGCCGUGGUGACAACGGGUAACGGAGGGUUAGGGCUCGACCCCGGAGAAAACGCCUGAGAAACGGCGUUUACAUCCAAGGAAGGCAGCAGGCGCGCAAAUUACCCAAUGCCGACUCGGCGAGGUAGUGACGAUAAAUACUGGUACGGGGGUCUUUCGGGUCUCGUAACUGGAAUGAGUACAAUUUAAAUCCCUUAACGAGGAACAAUUGGAGGGCAAUUUGGUGCCAGCAGCCCGCGGUAAUUCCAGCUCCAAUAGCGUAUAUUAAAAUUGUUGAGAUUAAAAAGCUCGUAGUUGAACCUUGGGCUCGGCCGGCGGGUCCGCCUCACCGCGUGCACUCGUCCGGCUGGGCCUUUCCCUCCGGUGAUCCCCAUGCCCUUUACUGGGCGUGGCGGGGAGCCGGGACUUUUACUUUGAAAAAAUUAGAGUGUUCAAAGCAGGCCUAUGCUCGAAUACAUUAGCAUGGAAUAAUAGAAUAGGACGUGCGGUUCUAUUUUGUUGGUUUCUAGGACCGCCGUAAUGAUUAAUAGGGACAGUCGGGGGCGUCAGUAUUCAAUUGUCAGAGGUGAAAUUCUUGGAUUUAUUGAAGACUAACUACUGCGAAGGCAUUCGUCAAGGAUGUUUUCAUUAAUCAGGAACGAAAGUUAGGGGAUCGAAGACGAAUCAGAUACCGUCGUAGUCUUAACCGUAAACUAUUAAGUCUAGGGAUCGGACGGUGUUUAUUUUUUGACCCGUCCGGCACCUUACACGAAAGUUAUAAGAGCUUAUCUGGGGAAAUACGGUAGCAAUACUUAAACUUAGAUGAGA